AGGAGAGUGUGACAGAAAGAGGAAGUCACUGGCGACGAUCAGCACACUUCACUUUACUUUCGCUUUUAUCAUAAAAAAAACUUUAUCCUCCAUAUUGUACGACACAAUCUAAAUCUAAACGUUACGUUAUAUCUAUUAGUUGCUAUACUGCUGAUUCCAGGAGUGGGUUUGCAUGAUACGGCCCACUGAGUGUUCAAAUGAUCAAUCUAAUGCAGAAGUUUGCCCAGCCUUGGUUUAGCUUCCAGGGGUCACCAACAUGGCGUCCGUGGGCACCAGGUCGGCCCUGAGGACCACUAACACCAUAUGCGUCCCAGUAAGAGGAUAAAAAGAAGUGAACAACAUGACACAAUUAUGAAUGGAAUGAAAAUGAGAAGAAAAGAACAGAAGUGGAUCUGCAAAAUAAAUGUCUUCAUCCUUGACAUUAAGACCAAGUACAUGUUUUACGUUUGCUAUUCAGUCAAGUCUAAUGUCAUUUUAUUUAUUUUUUUUACACUUGUAUGACAGCUAAAAAUGUUAAAAUAUGACUAAA